ACACACAUAUAAAUUGGUAAGGUAGCUAGAUGGUUUUCUUUGCGAGACCAGACUCUAUACACUCACUUUUCAUUAUUUGAAAGUUGUUCCGAUGAGAUGUUUGAUGCUCUUAAUCACUUUCAUUUUCAUUUUUUUAUUUGGAAGAAGUCCAAAUUACUACCCUUAAGUAUGGCCUAUGUCUAGAUAAUUCCAUAAACUAUCAUUUGGUUCAGUUCACUCCACUCAAUUAUCCUAGUUUGUUUAAUUUACCCAUUCAAUAUGAUUUAUCUUUUUUUGUUUCUCCGCAUUCAAGAUGAUUUAAAAUUUCAAAUCCUAUGAGGGGCCGGGGUAGCUAGCCCCAUAGUAAAUGUUAAAAGGUACAUCGUAGUUUUUACCAAUAUAUAUGUUGAUAGGUAAGGACAUAUAAUAAUAAAUUAACAUAAGAAAUACAAAGUUGUAUUAAAAUCAGUUGUACAAAAUUCAUAUUACUAUAUUUCUGAAAUACAAUGUCCAUUAUCACCUCACAAAUUUUGAAAGAGAGAAACCCAAAACGGUGGGAAGCAGCGAUCCCUACUCAGUCACCUCCAACCUUUGAUUGGCAACCCCUUUUUUCAAAAAAAAAAAAAAAACUUUGAUUGGCAACCGAACAAAACAAAACUUUGACUAGCGAUGUAUGAGUAUAUAUAUGACGGAGAAGAAAUGAACGAGGCCCUCGCUGUGGCUGCCCUGUGGGACACUAGCGAACGCCGAUGUCUCCUCCUCUCGCAUGCAGCGCACGGGACAAAAACAAUGGAAUGCAAACUGGGCCUAGAAUUAGGCGGCAUGGGCCGAGCCUGCCGUGGAGGGGGCUGAGAGGCGGCAUGCUGGGCAGCUGGGCCGAGGCUUAGGUGGCAUGGCAUUCUUCUUACGGGCUGGACCGGGAAGCAAGUGGAAAAGGAAGUGGAGGCUUGGACCAGAAACGGCGCGUUGGCUGUUUUUGUUAGGGAAAAGGUUUUUUUUUUCCAUCUUAAACCUCACUGCCUAUUUCUUUUAAUCAAUACGUAAGUUGUUCAACUAAACAAUCUACUGUUACAUAUAAUUAAAAAAUUCACUAGUUUAUGUAAUUGUAGUGUUCAUACCAGCAAGUCACUAUAUUUUUCUCAAUAUACAAGUUGUCCAACUAAGCAAUCCACUAACACACACAACUAAAAUCCAUUAGCCAUACAAUUGUAAUGUCCACGUCAGUAAGACACAUAAAUUUUUAUUUAUCCAUGUGAUUAUGCCACAUAAUUCACAGAAUUUCCGCAGCAACGCGUGGGGUAUUCUUCUAGUUUAUACUAAGAUAAUGUUCUUCAAUCAAGCCUUUAAAAAUGAAGAUAACUCUAAAUUAAAUUUGAAUCAAACUAGAAAGAUACACGAUUCACGUGCAUGCAUACCUGCUAGAUGAGUGCACAAUUUAACUUACAAAAUUAGAGAGAGC
rnacentral:lncRNA from 1 species